rnacentral:rRNA from 1 species
UACGUAGGGGGCUAGCGUUGUCAGGAUUUAUUGGGCGUAAAGAGCGUGUAGGCGGCCAGGUAGGUCUGGUGUGAAAACUCGAGGCUUAACCUCGAGAUGUCAUCGGAAACCAUCUGGCUAGAGUCCGGAAGAGGAGAGUGGAAUUCCUGGUGUAGCGGUGAAAUGCGCAGAUAUCAGGAAGAACACCAACGGCGAAGGCAGCUCGCUGGGACGGUACUGACGCUGAGACGCGAAAGCGUGGGGAGCGAACAGG